GAUCCGGCUCAGGACGAACGCUGGCGGCGUGCCUAAUACAUGCAAGUAGAACGCUGAAGGAGGAGCUUGCUUCUCUGGAUGAGUUGCGAACGGGUGAGUAACGCGUAGGUAACCUGCCUGGUAGCGGGGGAUAACUAUUGGAAACGAUAGCUAAUACCGCAUAACAGUAGAUGUUGCAUGACAUUUGCUUAAAAGGUGCAAUUGCAUCACUACCAGAUGGACCUGCGUUG
rnacentral:rRNA from 1 species